rnacentral:lncRNA from 1 species
AUCUCCCUGGAUAGAGAUUAUGCUUCUCUUGAGCAAUCAUUGGUUGUUGGAAGGGAUCUCAGUCCUAAGCAGUAGUGAUUCAAGCAUCUUCAUGCUGUUGUGUGUAAUAUCUUGAACUGUGACCUGGGCUCCCUUUCUGAACUGAAGUGUUCUGCUACCAUGGCUACUGCUGAUGUAAGCUGCCAGAUGCCUGGUUUGGAGCUGCUAGAAGUUGUGGUUGUUCCUUAGUACUUUGUGGCCACUGGACUUUGGAGCUGGUGCAUUUAGGGUUAUUGCCUCUUCCUGGACUUGUGAGACUAGCCAGAAUGGCACAUGCUGUUCUCAUUGGCUAAUGGAGAUGGUCAGGAUUUCAUCUUCUGUCAUUGCUCCUCCAUUAAAGAAUAAUUUGACAAGUUCAUAUUUGAAGAGCUCUUUAAAAUCAUGCUUACAUGUUUUAGUUAUUUAAAAAAAAAACAAAAACUUAUAUUAAAAAAAAAAAAUCUUUUUAAUUCAUUUCUACAUAUCCACUUGCUACUAUUAGAAUUACCGACUGACAAAGCUAAGUGCAGAUCUCUGUUUUUAAUUGUGUGGAUAUGUGCAUAUUAAUAUAUAUUAUUAUAUUGUACGUUUGGACUUAUAAAAGGUGAAAAGAUAUUAAAAUUUUACAAUAG